rnacentral:rRNA from 1 species
CUCAGAUUGAACGCUGGCGGCAGGCUUAACACAUGCAAGUCGAGCGGGGGAAGGUAGCUUGCUACCGGACCUAGCGGCGGACGGGUGAGUAAUGCUUAGGAAUCUGCCUAUUAGUGGGGGACAACAUCUCGAAAGGGAUGCUAAUACCGCAUACGUCCUACGGGAGAAAGCAGGGGAUCUUCGGACCUUGCGCUAAUAGAUGAGCCUAAGUCGGAUUAGCUAGUUGGUGGGGUAAAGGCCUACCAAGGCGACGAUCUGUAGCGGGUCUGAGAGGAUGAUCCGCCACACUGGGACUGAGACACGGCCCAGACUCCUACGGGAGGCAGCAGUGGGGAAUAUUGGACAAUGGGGGGAACCCUGAUCCAGCCAUGCCGCGUGUGUGAAGAAGGCCUUAUGGUUGUAAAGCACUUUAAGCGAGGAGGAGGCUACUUUAGUUAAUACCUAGAGAUAGUGGACGUUACUCGCAGAAUAAGCACCGGCUAACUCUGUGCCAGCAGCCGCGGUAAUACAGAGGGUGCGAGCGUUAAUCGGAUUUACUGGGCGUAAAGCGUGCGUAGGCGGCUUAUUAAGUCGGAUGUGAAAUCCCCGAGCUUAACUUGGGAAUUGCAUUCGAUACUGGUGAGCUAGAGUAUGGGAGAGGAUGGUAGAAUUCCAGGUGUAGCGGUGAAAUGCGUAGAGAUCUGGAGGAAUACCGAUGGCGAAGGCAGCC